rnacentral:rRNA from 1 species
UACGAGUGGUGCAAACGUUAUUCGGAAUCACUGGGCUUAAAGGGUGCGUAGGCGGCUGCACAAGUCAGGUGUGAAAUCCCUCGGCUCAACCGAGGAACUGCGCUUGAAACUGUGCGGCUUGAGGGAGACAGAGGUGAGCGGAACUGAUGGUGGAGCGGUGAAAUGCGUUGAUAUCAUCAGGAACACCGGUGGCGAAGGCGGCUCACUGGGUCUUUUCUGACGCUGAGGCACGAAAGCUAGGGGAGCAAAC